GUUAUCCGGAAUUAUUGGGCGUAAAGCGUCCGCAGGCGGCCUUUCAAGUCUGCUGUUAAAGCGUGGAGCUUAACUCCAUUAUGGCAGUGGAAACUGAUCGGCUUGAGUAUGGUAGGGGCAGAGGGAAUUCCCGGUGUAGCGGUGAAAUGCGUAGAUAUCGGGAAGAACACCAGUGGCGAAGGCGCUCUGCUGGGCCAUUACUGACGCUCAUGGACGAAAGCCAGGGGAGCGAAAGGGAUUAGAUACCCCUGUAGUCCUGGCCGUAAACGAUGAACACUAGGUGUCGGGGGAAUCGACCCCUUCGGUGUCGUAGCUAACGCGUUAAGUGUUCCGCCUGGGGAGUACGCACGCAAGUGUGAAACUCAAAGGAAUUGACGGGGGCCCGCACAAGCGGUGGAGUAUGUGGUUUAAUUCGAUGCAACGCGAAAAACCUUACCUACUCUUGACAUACUUGGAAGCUCUUGUAACUGACGAGUGUGCCUUAUGGAACCAAGAUACAGGUGCUGCAUGGCU
rnacentral:rRNA from 1 species